rnacentral:rRNA from 1 species
AUGGCGAGCCAAGAGAAGCCCAUCACGCCGUCGCCAGCUCCUCCGGCGCCGCCCCAACCACCAACGCCCGAGGGAGCCCCCCGCAUCCGCGGGUUCGGCGGAGGCGCGGCCGGCGGCGGGUACCCUAACCCUCCUGACGCGGCGCUGCCCGACGCGGCUACGCUGCGGGACCAGUGGCGGUUCGCGGUGCGCCAGUACAGCCGGUGGUACUCCCAAGCCUGGGGCACCGCCAUCCUCGCUGGCGGCGCCUUCUUUGCCCUGGGCUGGCUCGUCAAGGGUUCCAACCCCCUUCCCUCCCGCGCCGAUCCCCGUCCCCCCAACGACGCCAACGCGGACGAGGAUAAAAAGUGA